rnacentral:tRNA from 1 species
GCACCAGUGGUUUAGUGGUAGAGUAGUGCCCUUCUACGGUAUAAAACCGGGUUAGAUCCCUGGCUAGUGCA